GAUGAACGCUGGCGGCGUGCCUAAUACAUGCAAGUCGAGCGAACAGAUGAGGAGCUUGUUCCUCUGACGUUAGCGGCGGACGGGUGAGUAACACGUGGAUAACCUACCUAUAAGACUGGGAUAACUUCGGGAAACCGGAGCUAAUACCGGAUAAUAUAUUGAACCGCAUGGUUCAAUAGUGAAAGACGGUUUUGCUGUCACUUAUAGAUGGAUCCGCGCCGCAUUAGCUAGUUGGUAAGGUAACGGCUUACCAAGGCAACGAUGCGUAGCCGACCUGAGAGGGUGAUCGGCCACACUGGAACUGAGACACGGUCCAGACUCCUACGGGAGGCAGCAGUAGGGAAUCUUCCGCAAUGGGCGAAAGCCUGACGGAGCAACGCCGCGUGAGUGAUGAAGGUCUUCGGAUCGUAAAACUCUGUUAUUAGGGAAGAACAAAUGUGUAAGUAACUAUGCACGUCUUGACGGUACCUAAUCAGAAAGCCACGGCUAACUACGUG
rnacentral:rRNA from 1 species